rnacentral:lncRNA from 1 species
GGAGCUGUGCUGGGGAAGAGAAACCAAGGUUUGGAACCACACUAGCCUUCACAUUCCUGGGAGGAUACAACCCUCCCCUGGACGGGGAAGAUAGCUCUUUCUUUUUCUUUUUUAUUUUUUGCCUUUCUGUUUUUAUUUUUGGAGGGGAGCGCCCAGUAAUUGUCUUGAACACAUGCUUCUUCCUCCCUCCUUCCUCCAGCCACCAGCGACAGAGUCCCCUUUUUUGCAUUUAUCAUUUUCCUUCCCCUUUCUUUAUUAAAGGUCCGGGAGUGGCGGCGGCCAAUCAGCGCUCGGCUUCCAUUUUGUGAGUUCAACUCGGAGGCUUCCCCGGCUUUUCGCGUGGAUCUGGUUGCAGACCCCCUUGGUCUCUCUUCUCGGGCUGCCGAGGCGAAGCAGCCUCCUCGCAGGGGCUUCGUGGUGGUGUAUUUCAUAUUGGGGCUCUUUUCGGGGUUUGUAAUUUGGCCGUGGGUAGGUAAUUGGCUGGAGCAGGGCGGCAGGGUGCGGCAGCCAAUCAGCGCGCGGCUUCUAUAGGGCUUGAGUUAUUAGACGCUGAUCUCAAAACAUCCUUCAUCAGACUCCAAGGAGAGGCCAACAGAUGAGGGAGCCAUUUUUCUGCAAUGGAAUUAAAUGGCCAAGUGGGACUCACACUUGGAAGAAUGAAGAAGACCUUUUAAAAAGAUCUGGAUUUUUCCUUAUGACUUGGAAUCCAUCUUUGUCUUGUAUAACUAGGUCAUAGCACACUAUUAAUGUCAGCAGUUAACAGUUUUGAAUUCAAAAAAACCUAAAGCACUAAACAGCCCUCAGCGAAGCCGCCUUUAUGCCAGCCAAACCCUGGAAAGUUUGCAGUCGUGGAAGGAGCAGAAAUACCACGAGUGUAACUUACAAAGAAGCUUUUUCUUCUAGACUCCAUGGCGCCGGGCUGAGUGGGUCUUGGCUGGAGACCGGAGCCAUGUCUGUGUUAUCCCCACUGUAGACAAUCCUUGCUUCCUCUGGACAUCUGGAGCAGGCCCAAUUUGACUGACAGCCUUCCCCACUAAGGAAUUCCUGGACAAUGGAGAGUGCCCCAGGCCCCCUGAACAUCUUGCUGA